rnacentral:rRNA from 1 species
CCUACGGGAGGCAGCAGUGGGGAAUAUUGCACAAUGGGGGAAACCCUGAUGCAGCGACGCCGCGUGAGUGAAGAAGUAUUUCGGUAUGUAAAGCUCUAUCAGCAGGAACGAGACAAGACGUUACCUGACUAAGAAGCCCCGGCUAACUACGUGCCAGCAGCCGCGGUAAUACGUAGGGGGCAAGCGUUAUCCGGAAUCACUGGGUGUAAAGGGGGCGCAGACGGCAAUGCAAGCCAGGAGUGAAAGCCCGGGGCCCAACCCCGGGACUGCUCUUGGAACUGCAUGGCUGGAGUACAGGAGGGGCG